rnacentral:SRP_RNA from 1 species
AGAUCGUUGGGUGCGGCGAAGACCGACGAACCUGGUCAGGGGGGAAACCCAGCAGCCAUAAGUUGUAAUCUUCGGGUGUGCCCAACGGUCUUAA